AUUGAACGCUGGCGGCAGGCUUAACACAUGCAAGUCGGGCGGAGAGAGGUAGCUUGCUACUGAUCUUAGCGGCGGACGGGUGAGUAAUGCUUAGGAAUCUGCCUAUUAGUGGGGGACAACAUUUCGAAAGGAAUGCUAAUACCGCAUACGUCCUACGGGAGAAAGCAGGGGAUCUUCGGACCUUGCGCUAAUAGAUGAGCCUAAGUCGGAUCAGCUAGUUGGUGGGGUAAAGGCCUACCAAGGCGGCGAUCUGUAGCGGGUCUGAGAGGAUGAACCGCCACACUGGGACUGAGACACGGCCCAGAGUCCUACGGGAGGCAGCAGGGGGGAAUAUUGGACAAUGGGGUGAACCCUGAUCCAGCCAUGCCUCGUGUGUGAAGAAGGCCUUAUGGUUGUAAAGCACUUUAAGCGAGGAGGAGGCUACUGAGACUAAUACUCUUGGAUAGUGGACGUUACUCGCAGAAUAAGCACCGGCUAACUCUGUGCCAGCCGCCGCCGUAACAC
rnacentral:rRNA from 1 species